AGAGUUUGAUCAUGGCUCAGGACGAACGCUGGCGGCGUGCUUAACGCAUGCAAGUCGAACGGUAAGGCCCCUUCGGGGGUACACGAGUGGCGAACGGGUGAGUAACACGUGAGCAACCUGCCCUUGACUCUGGAAUAACAGCUGGAAACAGCUGCUAAUACCGGAUAUGACCUCAAACGACAUCGUCUGAGGUGGAAAGCUCCGGCGGUCAAGGAUGGGCUCGCGGCCUAUCAGCUAGUUGGUGAGGUAACGGCUCACCAAGGCUUCGACGGGUAGCCGGCCUGAGAGGGCGACCGGCCACACUGGGACUGAGAUACGGCCCAGACUCCUACGGGAGGCAGCAGUGGGGAAUAUUGCACAAUGGGCGAAAGCCUGAUGCAGCAACGCCGCGUGCGGGAUGACGGCCUUCGGGUUGUAAACCGCUUUCAGUUCCGACGAAGCGCAAGUGACGGUAGGAACAGAAGAAGGACCGGCCAACUACGUGCCAGCAGCCGCGGUG
rnacentral:rRNA from 1 species